rnacentral:rRNA from 1 species
AAAUUGAAGAGUUUGAUCAUGGCUCAGAUUGAACGCUGGCGGCAGGCCUAACACAUGCAAGUCGAACGGUAACAGGAAGCAGCUUGCUGCUUUGCUGACGAGUGGCGGACGGGUGAGUAAUGUCUGGGAAACUGCCCGAUGGAGGGGGAUAACUACUGGAAACGGUAGCUAAUACCGCAUAAUGUCG